rnacentral:rRNA from 1 species
UACGGAGGGUGCGAGCGUUAUCCGGAAUUACUGGGUUUAAAGGGUGCGUAGGCGGCUAUGUAAGUCAGGAGUGAAAGUUUGCGGCUCAACCGUAAAAUUGCUUUUGAUACUGCAUGGCUGGAAUUAGGAUGAGGUCAGCGGAAUGUGGCAUGUAGCGGUGAAAUGCAUAGAUAUGCCAUAGAACACCAAUUGCGAAGGCAGCUGGCUAGACCUGGAUUGACGCUGAGGCACGAAAGCGGGGGGAGCGAACAGG